rnacentral:rRNA from 1 species
UACAGAGGGUGCGAGCGUUAACCGGAAUUACUGGGCGUAAAGCGUGCGUAGACGGUUAUUUAAGUCGGGUGUGAAAGCCCCGGGCUCAACCUGGGAAUUGCAUUCGAGACUGAAUAGCUAGGGUACGGUAGAGGGAAGCGGAAUUUCCGGUGUAGCGGUGAAAUGCGUAGAUAUCGGAAGGAACAUCAGUGGCGAAAGCGGCUUCCUGGACCAGUACCGACGUUCAGGCACGAAAGCGUGGGGAGCAAACAGG